GGCGGCAUAGCCAAGCGGUAAGGCAGAGGUUUGCAAAACCUUUAUUCUCCAGUUCGAUUCUGGAUGCCGCCUCCA
rnacentral:tRNA from 1 species